rnacentral:sRNA from 1 species
AGAGACUCUUUGGGGGAGACAUGGAGAAGUUUAUCCAGAGCUCAGGCCAGCCUGUGCCCCUGGUGGUGGAGAGCUGCAUUCGCUUCAUCAACCUCAAUGGCCUGCAGCAUGAAGGCAUCUUCCGGGUAUCGGGUGCCCAGCUCCGGGUCUCAGAGAUCCGUGAUGCCUUCGAGAGAGGGGAGGACCCACUGGUGGAGGGCUGCACUGCCCACGACCUGGACUCGGUGGCCGGGGUGCUGAAGCUCUACUUCCGGAGCCUGGAGCCCCCACUCUUCCCCCCAGACCUGUUCGGCGAGCUGCUGGCUUCUUCAGAGCUGGAGGCCACAGCGGAGAGGGUGGAGCACGUGAGCCGCCUGCUGUGGCGGCUGCCCGCGCCGGUGCUGGUGGUUCUGCGCUACCUCUUCACCUUCCUCAACCAGUGAGUGCUGCGGGGCGAGUGCUGGGGUGGGGGCCAGGGGUCGAGGGGACAGGGGGACUCGGGGUGCGGGCUCUCUGCUUGUGAUGUGCGUGUCCCCCCAGCCUGGCCCAGUACAGCGAUGAGAACAUGAUGGACCCCUACAACCUGGCCGUGUGCUUCGGGCCCACGCUGCUACCGGUGCCCGCUGGGCAGGACCCGGUGGCGCUGCAGGGCCGGGUGAACCAGCUGGUGCAGACGCUCAUAGUGCAGCCCGAUCGGGUCUUCCCGCCCCUGACCUCGCUGCCUGGCCCCGUCUACGAGAAGUGCAUGGCACCACCUUCCGCCAGCUGCCUGGGGGACGCCCAGCUGGAGAGCCUGGGGGCGGACAAUGAGCCAGAGCUGGAAGCCGAGAUGCCCGCACAGGAGGAUGACCUGGAGGGGGUCGUGGAGGCUGUGGCCUGCUUUGCCUACACGGGCCGCACAGCCCAGGAGCUGAGCUUCCGGCGGGGGGACGUACUGCGGCUGCACGAGAGGGCCUCGAGCGACUGGUGGCGGGGGGAGCACAACGGCAUGCGGGGCCUCAUCCCCCACAAGUAUAUCACGCUGCCCGCCGGGACGGAGAAGCAGGUGGUGGGCGCAGGGCUGCAGACUGCAGGGGAGUCUGGGAGCAGUCCCGAGGGCCUCCUGGCAUCAGAGCUGGUCCACCGGCCAGAGCCAUGCACCUCACCUGAGGCCAUGGGACCCUCUGGACACAGACGACGCUGCUUGGUCCCAGCCUCCCCAGAGCAACACGUGGAGGUGGAUAAGGCUGUGGCACAGAACAUGGACUCUGUGUUUAAGGAGCUCUUGGGAAAGACCUCUGUCCGCCAGGGCCUUGGGCCAGCAUCUACCACCUCUCCCAGUCCUGGGCCCCGAAGCCCAAAGGCCCCGCCCAGCAGCCGCCUGGGCAGGAACAAAGGCUUCUCCCGGGGCCCUGGGGCCCCAGCCUCACCCUCAGCUUCCCACCCCCAGGGCCUAGACACGACCCCCAAGCCACACUGAGGUGCCGCUGCUGGAGAUGCGUGCCCCCGGCGGCUACCCACUGGACCGGCCACUCUCCCCAGCCCCCUUGCUUCUCUCCAGCCCUGUCCAGCAAGUGCAGGGUGCCUGCACUUCACCCUGUGCAGAGAGGUGGGAUGGGGCCAUGCACACAGGGAUGCCCGCUCCACAUCUUGCCUGCCCCUCAGCCCUGGCCCAGGCCCCUUUUGGAGGCAGCUGAGGAAGGAUGCUGGGGAAAGCCCUCUUCUGCAGCUUUGUGGAAGGCUGAUCAGUGGCUGCUGGGUGGCGGGUACCCUUGCUCAGAUGCCUGGCAGGGC